rnacentral:rRNA from 1 species
GAUGAACGCUGGCGGCGUGCCUAAUACAUGCAAGUCGAGCGAACAGAUGAGGAGCUUGCUCCUCUGACGUUAGCGGCGGACGGGUGAGUAACACGUGGAUAACCUACCUAUAAGACUGGGAUAACUACGGGAAACCGGAGCUAAUACCGGAUAAUAUAUUGAACCGCAUGGUUCAAUAGUGAAAGACGGUUUUGCUGUCACUUAUAGAUGGAUCCGCGCCGCAUUAGCUAGUUGGUAAGGUAACGGCUUACCAAGGCAACGAUGCGUAGCCGACCUGAGAGGGUGAUCGGCCACACUGGAACUGAGACACGGUCCAGACUCCUACGGGAGGCAGCAGUAGGGAAUCUUCCGCAAUGGGCGAAAGCCUGACGGAGCAACGCCGCGUGAGUGAUGAAGGUCUUCGGAUCGUAAAACUCUGUUAUUAGGGAAGAACAAAUGUGUAAGUAACUAUGCACGUCUUGACGGGACCUAAUCAGAAAGCCACGGCUAACUACGU